GCCAGGAUGAUAUAGUGGUUUGAGUACUGGACUAUGACUCUGGAGACCUAGAUUCAAAUCCCAGUUUGGCCA